rnacentral:lncRNA from 1 species
UUCCAGAGAUGUUCUAUACAUACAAAAAGUACAAGCAAAUAACAUAUAACUUCCCCCUUUUUUACAAGUGGCAUUGCAGAGCCUGUCACCAUUAGCUUAUUUUUUCACUUAUUAACAUUCAGUACCAUAAAAAACUCAUUGCUUUUUAUGACUGCAUAGUACUCCACUGCAUGGAGGUUCCAAAAUGUAUUUCACCAUUCCUCAGUUGGUGCUAUUCAGGCUGCUCCCAGGCAUUCGUCAUCACAAGGAGGACUGCAAUGACUAACCUUCAGCAUAUGUUGUCUCUAGAUGUUCUGGAGCAUCUUUAGGAUAGAUUCCUAGAGAUAGAACUGCUGGGUCAAAGCAGGGUCUUUGUGACCUGUAUCUUGUGAUAUCAAUCCUGCUGGCCUCCUGUCUCACCCUGUGACUAAGAAUGCCUACCCUCCUGGAAUGCAGUCCAGCAAGUCUCAUCCUCAUUUUACACAGCCUUUAAUCAAGAAAACCUCUGACAGAAUUGCUGGAUCCAUUUUGCCACCAUGAAGAAAGCCAACUUGAAGGCAAAAACCCAGCAUAUAGAAAGGAGAAGAACUAGGAAAUUACAGAGACCAGAGCCUGUACCAACUGUACCCAGAGCCUUCAUUUACCACUGGAGUUUUUCAGUUUGUGAACCAAUGAGUUCCUUUUAUUAAGUCUGUUGGAGCUAGGCUUUUGUUCCUCACAACCAAAAAUAUCCUAAAUGAUACCACUGGAUAAAUGAUUUCCCGAAGGAAGUGGGCCUUGGAGUCAAAUUUGAAAAGAGAAGAUGUGUGAUGUGCUGUGUGGGAGGCUGGGAUCAUUUUUUUUCACCAAGAUUUUUAUAUUUAUAGGCUUUUAUAUUUAUAGGGGAAAAAACAGAUUCGGUACACUUCUUACUUCAGCUCAAUGAUCAUUUGCAGGACUUCUCAUUGCUUGACCUCUCAAAGAGCACUCAGUGAGACUCUGUACCAUUUAAUCCUCACCCCUGACUGUCAGUAGACUGCCAUGGAAACCCCAAGGAUGCCUAUCCUGUUGGACAUGCGGUCAGAGACUGGCUCCAAAGAUAUCUCCCAAAGAGCAAAAGCCACCAUCUUCCUGUUGGUGCCCAGACACAGGUGCAUGAGCUCCAAGGACUCCUUCCUAGGCCACCUCUCUGCUGCCUGAUCUAAACUCACCUCGUUUCUGGGAGCUGGUCUGAGAGUCUGCCUUGGAGAUGUGUUGGAUGGGAACUAGGGGUUUGUAGGCUCCAUUGUGAGCAAUACUGAUGGGAAAUGACCGCAACUAGUAUGGAUAUUUUGCAUAAAGCCCCUGAAAUCUGACAUGCUCAGGGUCAGAGCCAUGAACCACUGUCUUGACAAACCCCACGUACAUGGACUAAUAAGGAAGGUGUGGGCACCAUGGCGUUAGUGUUCAACUGGAGAGUGGGAAAGAGAUUUGCAUGUGCCACCAGCCCUGAUAGAGACAGUGGCAGAACACACUGAUUCUCAACAUUGCAGACACCUGCUGUCUUUGUCCCUAUGUAGGUUUCCCCCAAUCCAGGAAUGACUUCCUCUGGGGAUCUGUGGCUGAUGGUGCUAGGGUUUGUACCAGACCAAAUCAAGGUAACUAGAGCUUCCCCAGGUGAUUGUAACCCAUCUCCUAAACAAAACUUGCAUCGACUCGGUUGCAUUACAAUUUGAUUUUCCUGGGUGAUGUACUCAUCACAUUUUUUAAAAAAGGACUUAAAGAAAGACUUUAGAGACUAAAUUCUUGGUAUUUAUGCACCUCUUUCUGGAGUCACAGGUGGGCUCUGAUUCUCAUAACUGAUUGCCUUGACUUCUACCGGAGCAGAAGAAUGCCAGCUCAUUCUUCAAAUACAGUUAGUCUUCUGUUGGCAAUUAUGGAAAACAGCUCUACCUAGCGCAUGCGAAUGUGUGUGUGUGUGUGUGUGUGUGUGUGCGUGUGUGUGAUUUUGGGGAAGGCAACUGAGGUAGCUCACAGAAUCAAAAGGACAGCAGCUCCUCCCAGCCUCAGGAAGGAGAGGGGUUAGUCUGCCAUGAGGCCCUUACUUGGCAGCCCCAGUUGGAGAACCUUCUCACUAGGAUUCUCCCAAAAGACAGCUCAGCUCCCAUGUCUGCCUCUUGGUGCCUCUGCUCAAGUUUCAGAUCUCAGGGUGAGGGCACUGCAGUGGAUCAGGGAAGAGCAGGUGUGCAGGUGACCCAGGGAAUGGAGCGCUCUGAUUGGCUGAGGCUGAGUCAUAGGCCCCCUCCUAUAGGACAUCAAAGUCUUUGAAGAAAAUGCCAAUUAAAAGCACUGUUGGCUGGGCACUGUGGCUCAUGCCUAUAAUCCUAGCACUUUGGGAGGCCGAGGUGGGCAGAUCACUUGAGGUCAGGAGUUCGAGACCAGCCUGGCCAACAUGGUGAAACCCCGUCUCUACUAAAAAUACAAAAAUUAGCUGGGUAUGGUGGCGGGCACCUGUAAUCCCAACUACUCAGGAGGCUGAGGCAGGAGAAUCACUUGAACCUGGGAGGCGGAGGUUGCAGUGAGCCGAGAUUGUGCCACUGCACUCCAGCCUGGGCAACAGAUUGAGACUCCAUCUCAAAACAAAACAAACAAACCAAAAAAGCACUGUUGCUCAGAUAUCACCCCCUGUGUGAAACCUUGAUCCCUAAGGCAGAAUUGCUUGUUCCUCCAUGGCUUCUGUAGCACUUUGUAAAACAUUUGGAUGGAUCAAAGAGAGAAAAUUUUAUUCAACAAAAUUUUUCCAAGGACGGUACAUUUGUUUGCCAAGUGUUUGGUAAGCAAGUGAGACCUGUACAGUUUUGGUACAGGAAGGGCCCAUGAAUGUGGGCGGAACUAUUCCACAGGAGACAAGGAGAAGCUGUUCUCUGGAGGGAGGGAAUGGAGAGGGAGAGGUGGUUUAGGGAUCUGCAGGAUGGCAGAAUGCAUCCAGAAAUGACUUUCCUAUCAUUUCCCCACCACUGCCUCAAGCCCUUUUCUUCUACGAUUUUAUGAAACUCAUGGGAUAAAUGCUUGAAGUGAGUGGGCUAGAAGCCAGCAAAGGGACGCAGGGAUGUGCCCAGACACAUACAGGUGGAACGGAAGCAGCAGGCAGAUGGGGGGUGUCAGGAACAGAAAUGCUUUCCUAGGGCAACCUAGUUAGGUUUCGUUUAAGCUAAUCAGGAAGUAACCAGAGUCAUGGGGAGGCUGUAAAACUGAGGCAGGGACCAGAUUUCACCAAAUCAUUGUAGAAUGAGGGCAAGGAUGAAGGAGGGGUGGAGGUAGGUGCUUGCAGGAGGCACCUUGAUAUGGUUUGCCUGUGUCCCCACUCAAAUCUCAUCUUGAACUAUAGUUCCCAUAAUCCCCAUGCGUCGUGGGAGGGAGCUGGUGGGAGGUAAUUACCUCCAUGCUGUUCUCUUGAUAGUGAUUGAGUUCUCACAAGAUCUGAUGGUUUUAUAAGGGGCUUUCCCCACUUUGCUCUGUAUUUCUCCUUCCUGCCAUCAUGCGAAGAAGGAUAUGCUUGCUUCCUUUUCUGCCAUGAUUGUAAGUUUCCUGAGGCCUCCUCAGCCAUGAGGAAUUGUGAGUCAAUUAAGCAUCUUUCCUUUAUAAAUUACCCAGUCUCAGGUAUGUCUUUAUUGACAGCAUGAGAACAGACUAAUACAUACCUGAAAAGGAGAACACUUAUCACAUAAUGCUGUAAAUACAGGUCGGCAGUCUCUUCCCCACUGAACCAGAAGAAUAUGAUUUUUAAGAAUAAAAGAUAUCUUAUUGAUCAACAAUAUCUUAUUGAUCUUGACCCACUUAUUUCAAAACACACAAUAAAUAUUUGUAACUAUUCUUUUAAAAAUAGCAAUACCCAUUUAAAAAUAAUGAAAUCCAGACUAAAAGGACUUGGUAUGUACCAGGCACUAAGUGCGCUGCAUGCAUCUCCCCGCUUGCCAGUUGCCCAUCCCCUGCGCCUAGUGCUCCAUGCUUGCCUCUCUUACGGCACCCACAAAUGAAGCUGGAGGCAGAAACCAUACAGUCAUUUGAACACAGGAAGUUUCCUGUAAGGAAAUGAUUAAGUGGUGAGGAAGAAACUACAAAGAUACAAAGAGAACUCUCAAGGGUUCCCUAGGGCUCAGUACCCAGGGAAGGACCAACUCGGCUCCCCAAGGCUGGGCUUCAGACGUCUUUAGAGAAGAUGUGAUUGCAGCCACUGGCCGGAGGGGAAGUUCGUGGGUGGCCGGGGCCACAGUUGGCCCACAGUCCCCAGGCAGCUGGUCCUCUAGUGCACAGGAGCACCAAGACUGGUAGAUGGGUGACCAGAGAGAGCCAGGGUGCCAGGAGCUCACUCGCUGGUGGGGUGGCCGGGAGGUUGCUGUGCACCUUGCCCAUGGCACACAGGGCCCAUGGCACACGCCUCCAGGACACAGCCCCAGAGAGUCUGUGGUGUGGCACUUGCAGGAGUCAAGGCACUGAGCACGUGCCAUGGACUGAAUGCUUUUGUCCUUUGUCCCCUGAAAUCCACAUGUUAAAGCCUUAAUCCCCAAUGUGAUAGUAUGGAGGUGAGAUUUAGAUGAGGUUUCGGGAGGUUUAGAUGAGGUCGCAAUUGUAAGGCCCCCAUGAUGGGAUCAGUGCCCUUACAGGAAGAGACACCAGACCCCCCUCUCUCUCUGCACCAUGUGAGGACACAGCAAGGAGUGUUCUUCCCGCGAACCAGGAAGCAGGUCCUCACCGGGUAUCGAAUCUGCCAACACCUUGAUCUCAGACUUCCAGCUUCCAGAACUGUGAGACAGAAACGUGUGUUGCCUAAGCCAUUUGUUUUAACAGCCCAAACUGACUAAGACACUCAUCAGAGAAAAAGCAGCGCUGGACAUGUGUUACAGGCGGCAAGACUGAUUCCUUCAGACUCCUGCAGCAGCGGGAAGAGAUUCCAGUACCGACCAAGCUCAACCCCAACUGAGAAAACGGUGACCGAGGUCUUCAAAGAGAGAACAGAAAGGGAACAAAAAGGGACUGAAGGAGAAAUGAAGACAGAACGUGGGGGCCACGUGGAAAUGGAAAGUUCCAGAAGGGUGAGGGGAGAACUACUGAAAAUGGUUUAGCGGGGUGGGCUGGACGAGGUGCAUUUUGUGAUUUGGCUGCAUUGCAAAGUCUUGAGCCAAGACUCAGCCAGGGCUGGGGUCGCCUCUGGGGAUGCAGCUUAGUGCAGGUGGAAGCCAGGCUACAGUUUGGUGAAGCCUCUCAGCACAGUGUUGGGGUGAGUCCUCUACGCUCUGUGGAAUUCCCAGUUCACUGGAGGCUCGCUAGCAGGGCAAGUGUGGCCCGAAGGUGCACUGUCCAUGUCAGGCAGGCAUGCAGGGAAGCCGGGGAGCUGACAGCCUGCUGGGGGCAGGGCAGUGGGUGGCCUGGGGUGCCUUGGGUCCCAUCAGCAGGGUCAUGGGAAACAGCCUCCAGGCUGCACAGUGGUGGACAGCAGUGCUGGCUCCCCCUGUACCUGCCCACCAGCCUUGGCCCUCCUAGGCCCCGAAGGAUCGUUUCCUGCUGUCUGGUGACUGUAGACCAGCCCUAGCCCAGGAAACCCUAUAAAAUUCUCCUCCAACUAUUUCUCCUGGAGAAGACAAGAGUGCCAAUGGAUUACUACAGUGCAGGGCAAUUGAGCAAAGAUGGGGGUGAACUGGGGUCCCAUGGGAGCAGGGAGGAGGGGCCAGGGAACCCUGGCCAGAAAUAGGAAAGCAGUAAUGGAAGGGACGACUCAGGAGAGGGAGUGCCCAUCUCAGAGCCUUUCAGGAACCUGGCAUUUAAUAAAUGCCUCCUCCAGAGGGAAGGAUUCAGGCAGAUCACUUCUAGAAGGGGUCACGGCCUCUCCAGGUUCUGCAUGGUCCACAGCAUAUGUACAGUCCCCAGAAGCUAGACUCCUUCCAGGCCUGGUGUGGAGGGAACCUAAGUGUGUGAUGGAGGAGAGUCUUCCACGGGCUAUGAACUCUUUGUAAAAAACAAAACAAAACAAAACAAAAAAACAGUACGCAUGCGAUGCUGGGGGCUUAGGACAAUAUCUUAAAACAGAGCUGAAACAUUGGUGGAUAAACCUCAGGACAGGCAGGAAAAGAGCUGUAGCUCGUCCACCAUCAGCAUUAGCAAUGCAAUCAGACACAACGGAAAAUCAAUGAAGUAAAACCAACCAGCAGGAUUAUGUUAUUGAGCCUCCAAUAAAUGUCUUAAGUGUCCAAUAAAGCCAUAUCGUUUUGAU